GAGAAUUGUUUGGGGUGGCGAGAAAGUACACAUUUGUGGAGGUGGAGUAACUGGGCAGCCUUCUGUUGAGAAGGGAAAAAGCAUUUAGCUCCUUUUUAUGUGUAUACGUGUCAAGGAAAUCAGUGUGAUUGUAGGACUGUAACUAUGGAGCCGGGGACCAGAAGUGAAGCCAAGGCCGGAUUACCAUUUCCCAAUACUACUUUGGAUCAAAGUAGUUGCUGUAGUCAUUCCAGUGCUGUUCAAUGAACAUAUUUCCAGUCCACCCACCUGCUUAUUCAGAGCCGCCCACAUCAAAGAACCUAGGAGGAACCUUGACUCUUGCUGUGAUGAAGACUAGGCCUACCGCUCCGUUAUUCCAGCUGUGCCUCGGGCUUCAGCUCCAGUGGCCAGGAGUUCCUCCACUUAAUGCCCUCCUUCUUGACAGUCAAGAAGUCCAGAACCGCGGUUAAGACCUGUGUGUUUAGUGAAUAAAAAAGUAAAAAUCAGA